AACGAACGCUGGCGGCAUGCCUAACACAUGCAAGUCGAACGAAGCCUUCGGGCUUAGUGGCGCACGGGUGCGUAACACGUGGGAAUCUGCCCUUCGGUUCGGAAUAACAGUUAGAAAUGACUGCUAAUACCGGAUGAUGACGUAAGUCCAAAGAUUUAUCGCCGAAGGAUGAGCCCGCGUAGGAUUAGGUAGUUGGUAGGGUAAUGGCCUACCAAGCCGGCGAUCCUUAGCUGGUCUGAGAGGAUGAUCAGCCACACUGGGACUGAGACACGGCCCAGACUCCUACGGGAGGCAGCAGUGGGAAUAUUGGACAAUGGGCGAAAGCCUGAUCCAGCAAUGCCGCGUGAGUGAUGAAGGCCUUAGGUUGUAAAGCUCUUUUACCAGGGAUGAUAAUGACAGUACCUGGAGAAUAAGCUCCGGCUAACUCCGUGCCAGCAGCCGCGGUAAU
rnacentral:rRNA from 1 species